rnacentral:piRNA from 1 species
GCCUGUAUCUGGGGUUUACUCUCAUUAA